rnacentral:lncRNA from 1 species
CUGGAAGCUGCUCCCUCCACUCCCACCUGUGCCUUUAUGCGAAUCUUUUUUGCUGUGGUCAGAAAAAGAGAUGUAAUCAAGAAGUAAGAGUCAGAUGUGACAUUGUUGGCUUUGAACCUGAAGGAAGGCAACCGCCAAAGAAUGUGUGUGGAUUAUCGAAGCUGGAAAAGACAAGAAAACUGAUUUCCUCCUAGAACCUCCACAAGAAAACUCAGCCCUUCUAAUUUGAUUUCUUCCAAAUAAGACUUGUG